AAAGACUCCAUUAGUCCUGCAGAAACUCCAGGCCGUGAGAAGUAGAGACGUCUCAAACGAUGCUUCGGCUCCUACACCGAACAGUUUACGUUGGAUUGCUGGAGAGAGGCGGAGUACCAAUGAACAACAAGAGACUGGGGCCUCUCCUCAUUGAUCAGCACAGCAGGAAUGAUGUCGUUAACGAGAACUAAUGCGGAAAAGAUCUACCAGGAUGUUGAUGACUGCCUGGACUUGGGGCCUGAGUUACACGGAGAGACUGUGUGGACUGGAACGUGAGUGAUUCAG